ACUGACUUAGCUCAGUUGGUAAAGUAUCUUAGCACAAAAUCCGGAGGCCACGGGUUCAAAUCCCGCCGGUAGUC
rnacentral:tRNA from 1 species